UACAGAGGUCUCAAGCGUUGUCCGGAUUUAUUGGGCGUAAAGAGCGUGUAGGCGGUUCGGUAAGUCUGUCGUGAAAUCCUGAGGCUCAACCUCGGGCGUGCGAUGGAUACUGCCGGGCUAGAGGAUGGUAGAGGCGAGUGGAAUUCCCGGUGUAGCGGUGAAAUGCGCAGAUAUCGGGAGGAACACCAGUAGCGAAAGCGACUUCCUGGACCAAUACUGACGCUCAUGUGCGAAAGCGUGGGGAGCAAACAGG
rnacentral:rRNA from 1 species